UACAGAGGGGCAAGCGUUGUUCGGAAUUACUGGCGUAAAGGGCGCGUAGGUGGCCUUCUAAGUUGAACGUGAAAUCCCUGGGCUCAACCCAGGAACUGCGUCCAAGACUGGGAGGCUUGAAUCCGGGAGAGGGAUGCGGAAUUCCAGGUGUAGCGGUGAAAUGCGUAGAUAUCUGGAGGAACACCGGUGGCGAAGGCGGCAUCCUGGACCGGUAUUGACACUGAGGCGCGAAAGCCAGGGGAGCAAACGGG
rnacentral:rRNA from 1 species